AAAAUAAAAAUAAAACCCUAGUCCUGUUAAACCCCUUAAUCAGAACCCUUACAGAGUAAAAGGCAUAGCGGACAUGGCAGCCUCAAGUGAAGCGUCACUUGACUUGGAAUCACUGCACCGCCUAAAAUCAACAGAGCCGCCAUUAUGGCUAGCACCGAAUGCGGAGCUUUCUGAGACGGCGCGUAGUGCUUCACAAAAGCUGUUUUCAUUCCUUAAAACUUAUUGCCCAAAAUCACCGUUCGAUCAAUUAUUGGUAAACGGGUUCGACGCGGAGCAGAUUUGGCACCAGAUAGAUUUGCAGUCACAGCCUUUGUUGUUGAGUCUUAAGAGAGAAGUGAAGAAGUUUGUGAAGAAUCCGGGAGAAAUUGGGAAAAUUAAGAAGGUUUUAGAAGGUGAGGAGAAGGGUUCGGGAGGCGAAAAAAAGGGUCUUGAAGAGGCAAGUGAUGGUUUUGAUGAAGAAUUGGAUGAAGGGUUUGAUGAUGAUAUGGAUGAGGAGGAGGAGGAGGAGGAGGAGAAGGAACUGAAAGGGGAAGAGGAAGAGGAAGAUGAAGAUGAAGGAAGUGAGAGUGAGAAGGAAGAAAUGGAGGUAGAAGAGAAGGGAAAAGGAGGGAUAGAAGAUGAUUUUUUGAAGAUAAAUGAAUUGCAGGAGUAUUUAGAGGAGGAUGAAGCUAGGGAAUAUGGAUUAAAGAAGGAUAGUGAUAAUAAGAAGAAGAAAGGGAGAAAAGUGUUGGAUGAGGAUGAAGAUGAAGAGGAUGAUGACGAGGAUGAAGAAGAUGAGGAGGAGCUUGGUCUUUUUGAUGAUGAGGACAAUGCAGAGGCAGAUGAGUUGGAGAAUGCUAGGUAUGAAGACUUCUUUGGUGGUAAAAAGAAAAAAGCUCCCCAGAAAAAACCAAAAACAAUUGAUGAGUCACAAGAAGAUUCGGACUUGGAUGAUAAACCAGAUGAUGAUGAGGCAAUGGAAGAUCGGAAAAAUGAUAACCUUUCCACGCAUGAGAAACAACUUAAGAAGCUUCAGUCUGAAAUAGAAAAGAUGGAGAAAGCAAAUUUAGACCCAAAAACUUGGACCAUGCAAGGAGAGGUAACUGCUGCACAAAGACCGAAGAACAGUGCAUUAGAAGUUGAUUUGGAUUUUCAACACAAUGUGAGGCCUGCCCCUGUAAUUACUGAGGAGUUUACAGCAUCAAUUGAAGAGAUGAUUAAGAAGAGAAUUGUUGAGGGGCAAUUCGAUGAUGUUCAAAAGGCUCCUAGUUUACUCACUAAAGCACCGAGAGAAUUGAAAGAGUUGGAUGAGAAUAAGAGCAAAAAAGGUCUCGCUGAAAUUUAUGAGGAAGAAUAUGUUAAAACAACAAAUCCAGCUGCUACACCAUUGUUAUUCUCUGAUGAACAGAAGAAAGAGGCAAGCAUGCUGUUCAAGAAACUGUGCUUGAAGUUGGAUGCUCUUUCUCAUUUCCACUUCACUCCAAAACCUGUUAUUGAUGACAUGUCUAUACAAGCAAAUGUCCCUGCUUUAGCCAUGGAAGAGAUUGCACCUGUUGCUGUUUCAGAUGCAGCUAUGCUUGCUCCUGAGGAAGUCUUUGCUGGCAAAGGUGAUGUGAAAGAAGAAGCAGAACUUACUCAGGCAGAGAGGAAGAGAAGAAGAGCUAACAAGAAAAGGAAAUAUAAGGGUAAGAUUGGGUAACAGGAAUCUGAAGCUGCAAAAAGGACAACGGCUAAGAAGGCAAGAGGCAACGCAUCACUAAAUCACAAUGAUGGCAAUGAGGAAUAAAGAAUAAGUUGAUGUAUCGGGAGUUCUCCGAAAAAUCUUCUGGUUACUGGUUAGUUUUCAAUUCAGGCAGCAGGGGAGGGGAAAAGAUAAGAGAGCAAAUACUGGGCCAUAAUGAUCUUUAGUGCAGUUGUUUGCUAGUUCUGAUUGAGGAGUACAGAAAGUGUGUACAAAUACAAAUCAUUUGAAAAUUACUUGAAACCCAAGGUCAGCAAAGAGUUGGCUUUCGUUGGUUAUUCCUAGUGAAGAAAAAAUUUUGGUAGAAUCUGUCGUGGAUGACAUUAAUCUUAGAAAGAGAUUUCAUUGUCGCGCUUUUCUCUCUAUCAGCUCAUUUGCUGUAAGGAAAGACUUCUGUUUGUUGCAAAUACAUUUACUUCGUAAAA